rnacentral:rRNA from 1 species
GGGGUGCUCGAGUGGCGAACGGGUGAGUAACACGUGAGUAACCUGCCCUUGACUUUGGGAUAACUUCAGGAAACUGGGGCUAGUACCGGAUAGGAGCUCCUGCUGCAUGGUGGGGGUUGGAAAGUUUCGGCGGUUGGGGAUGGACUCGCGGCUUAUCAGCUUGUUGGUGGGGUAAUGGCCUACCAAGGCGGCGACGGGUAGCCGGCCUGAGAGGGUGUACGGCCACAUUGGGACUGAGAUACGGCCCAG